UGAGUAGCUGCGUCUACAGGCGCCCGCCAUCACGCCCGGCUAAUUUUUUGUGCUUUUAGUAGAGACGGGGUUUCACCGUGUUAGCCAGGAUGGUCUUAUCUCCUGACCUCAUGAUCCGCCCUCCUCGGCCUCCCAAAGUGCUGGGAUUACAGGCGUGAGUCACCGCGCCCGGCCAGGGCAAAUCUCUUUAACUAUUAUAAUUUUCUCAGUUAUAAUCUUGCAAUGGUGGUUUCAAAAGGUGACUGGAAGAAAGCGGAAGGAAUGCUUACCUCAUCUUGCAGACAUCAGGUGCAUUCCUGAGAAGCUACAGAUGGACAACCUUAGUCAGGCUCUGGGGAUACAGAGGUAACAAGAAGACCAGACUGUUGUUCCAAUGGAGGAGACAUCCUGAUGGAACCCAGGCAUGGAACACAUUGCCCAAAUGUCGCUGAGUUUCGCUGCAUCAGAAGUUACAUAACAUAAUCCAGUGCAAAGCAGAACGAGGAAAUACCAGGUGGCUGUCAGGGGUGGCUAUCUCACAUUCUGCUGUGCUGGGCUACCUUCCAG